rnacentral:rRNA from 1 species
CGGAUAUUAUGACUGAGUCGCAUGAUUUGGUUAUGAAAGCUAUAUGCGCUGUGAGAGACUUUGCGUCCCAUAGUUAAUUGGUGAGGUAACGGCUCACCAAGACGAUGAUGGGUAACCGGCCUGAGAGGGUGAACGGCCACAAGGGGACUGAGACACGGCCCUUACUCCUACGGGAGCAGCAGUGGGGAAUAUUGGACAAUGGACCAAAAGUCUGAUCCAGCAAUUCUGUGUGCACGAUGAAGUUUUUCGGAAUGUAAAGUGCUUUCAGUUGGGAAGAAGUCAGUGACGGUACCAACAGAAGAAGCGACGGCUAAAUACGUGCCAGCAGCCGCGGUAAUACGUAUGUCGCAAGCGUUAUCCGGAUUUAUUGGGCGUAAAGCGCGUCUAGGCGGUUUAGUAAGUCUGAUGUGAAAAUGCGGGGCUCAACCCCGUAUUGCGUUGGAAACUGCUAAACUAGAGUACUGGAGAGGUAGGCGGAACUACAAGUGUAGAGGUGAAAUUCGUAGAUAUUUGUAGGAAUGCCGAUGGGGAAGCCAGCCUACUGGACAGAUACUGACGCUAAAGCGCGAAAGCGUGGGUAGCAAACAGGAUUAGAUACCCUGGUAGUCCACGCCGUAAACGAUGAUUACCAGGUGUUGGGGGUCGAACCUCAGCGCCCAAGCUAACGCGAUAAGUAAUCCGCCUGGGGAGUACGUACGCAAGUA